AUAACGGUCCUAAGGUAGCGAAAUUCCUUGUCAGGUAAGUUCUGACCCGCACGAAUGGCGUAAUGAUUUGGGCACUGUCUCAACAGCCCGCCCGGCGAAAUUGUAGUACUGGUGAAGAUGCCAGUUACCCGCAACUAGACGGAAAGACCCCAUGGAGCUUUACUGCAGCUUAAUACUGGAAAUCGGUAAUUCAUGUACAGGAUAGGUGGGAGACUUGGAAGUACGGGCGUCAGCUCGUAUGGAGUCGCUGGUGGGAUACCACUCUUGGAUUACUAGGUUUCUAACCUGCGGCCGUGAAUCCGGUCGGGGGACACUGUUAGGCGGGCAGUUUGACUGGGGCGGUCGCCUCCAAAAGAGUAACGGAGGCGCUCAAAGGUUGGCUCAGCACGGACGGAAAUCGUGCAAUGAGUGUAAACGCAUAAGCCAGCCUAACUGCGAGACCGACGGGUCGAGCAGUAACGAAAGUUGGAGUUAGUGAUCCGGUGGUAUGUGAGUGGAAAUGCCAUCGCUCAACGGAUAAAAGUUACCCUGGGGAUAACAGGCUGAUCUCCCCCAAGAGUCCACAUCGACGGGGAGGUUUGGCACCUCGAUGUCGGCUCAUCGCAUCCUGGGGCUGUAUUCGGUCCCAAGGGUUUGGCUGUUCGCCAAUUAAAGCGGCACGCGAGCUGGGUUCAGAACGUCGUGAGACAGUUCGGUCCCUAUCUGUUGCGGGCGUAAGAGAUUUGAAGGGAGCUGUCCUUAGUACGAGAGGACCGGGAUGGACGUACCUCUGGUGCACCAGUUGUCCUGCCAAGGGCAUAGCUGGGUAGCUAUGUACGGACGAGAUAAACGCUGAAAGCAUCUAAGCGUGAAACUCCCCCUAAGAUGAGAUCUCUCAUCCUUCAAGGAGUAAGGACCCAGAAAGACGAUCUGGUUGAUAGGCCGAAGGUGGAAGCGCAGUAAUGUGUGGAGCUGAUCGGUACUAAUAGUCCGAGGGCUUGACCUA
rnacentral:rRNA from 1 species